CAUGUUUCAUGCUCUUUUUAUGAAAGUUAUUUAGGUUGUAUUUUGGUAGGGGUGGAUGUCAGCCUUAAUGUGGGAACAGAUCUCCCAAACACACCAUUUCAUUUAUGUGCAAAACAUGCAUUUGGUUCUCAAUGUGCUAUAUAAAGUCUUGUUAAGUUGAAGUUAACACAGUUGAACUUCAUACUGUCAAGGGAGAUCUAAGGAGAAGGCAUUUUUUACUUGGGGAAAAUUGCUCCCACUUCUGGUUUUCCUAGUCAAGAGUUCAAGAUAUAAGGCAGUACUACACUAUUCUGGAUGACAACAACAGAGCUGUUACACAUCGUAUACAGGAUUACAUCCAUGGACUAUUUUGUUGUGGACAUUCUGUGUUUAUGGACCAUCAGUGAACUUGUGUGUACUUUUGACCAUUGUUUGCCUCGCCAU